rnacentral:rRNA from 1 species
CCUACGGGAGGCAGCAGUGGGGAAUAUUGCACAAUGGGCGGAAGCCUGAUGCAGCGACGCCGCGUGAGGGAUGAAGGCCUUCGGGUUGUAAACCUCUUUCAGCAGGGACGAAGCGUGAGUGACGGUACCUGCAGAAGAAGCACCGGCUAACUACGUGCCAGCAGCCGCGGUAAUACGUAGGGUGCGAGCGUUGUCCGGAAUUACUGGGCGUAAAGAGUUCGUAGGCGGUUUGUCGCGUCGUUUGUGAAAACCCGGGGCUCAACUUCGGGCUUGCAGGCGAUACGGGCAGACUUGAGUGUUUCAGGGGAGACUGGAAUUCCUGGUGUAGCGGUGAAAUGCGCAGAUAUCAGGAGGAACACCGGUGGCGAAGGCGGGUCUCUGGGGAAACAACUGACGCUGAGGAACGAAAGCGUGGGUAGCAAACAGGAUUAGAUACCCUGGUAGUCCACGCCGUAAACGGUGGGCGCUAGGUGUGGGUUCCUUCCACGGGAUCUGUGCCGUAGCUAACGCAUUAAGCGCCCCGCCUGGGGGAGGUACGGCCGCGACGACGUAAACUAACAAGAAGUAGACGGCGNGAGACGNGCCGACGACGACGACGAGGGAGGUAGG